rnacentral:rRNA from 2 species
CGGUGUGCCUAAUACAUGCAAGUCGAACGCGUUGGCCCAACUGAUUGACGAUGCUUGCAUCCGAUUGACGUUGGAUUUCCAACGAGUGGCGGACGGGUGAGUAACACGUAGGUAACCUGCCCAGAAGCGGGGGAUAACAUCUGGAAACAGGUGCUAAUACCGCAUAACAAUUCAAAUCGCAUGGUUUGAAUUUAAAAGAUGGCUCUGCUAUCACUUCUGGAUGGACCUGCGGCGCAUUAGCUUGUUGGUAGGGUAAUGGCCUACCAAGGCAGUGAUGCGUAGCCGAGUUGAGAGACUGAUCGGCCACAAUGGGACUGAGACACGGCCCAUACUCCUACGGGAGGCAGCAGUAGGGAAUCUUCCACAAUGGGCGCAAGCCUGAUGGAGCAACACCGCGUGAGUGAAGAAGGGUUUCGGCUCGUAAAGCUCUGUUGUUGAAGAAGAACGUGCAUGAGAGUAACUGUUCAUGCAGUGACGGUAUUCAACCAGAAAGUCACGGCUAACUACGUGCCA